AAGUGGGAGUUCAAUGCUAGGGCUUGAGUCAUACGAUCUCCAGUUCCUCCCUAACAAGUUAAAUAGCUAGUUCCAAAUUUGCAACCUGAGCAGCCCAGUCUGCUAGAACAGCAGUUUGGUCCUAUCAGAGUGCCGUGUCAGACAUGUUCGCAGUGUAUACAGCAGUGCUGCGAGAGCUGCUCUUCUGUAACUACUCUUAGAGGAGAAUUGUGGCUAAAACUGCUUUCUAGGAUGAAGGUUUAGAUGAAAAGUUUUUUAAACUUUUUUUUCUAUAUUUCUCUAUUUUUCCUCUCUAUUUGGGGUUCAGAAACUGAUUGUCAUUGGUCUUUCAGUGCAGCUCAGGGCAGGUCAGGAGAAGGGAACAUGCAAAAGUUGUUUUAUUCUUCCUGGAUUCCUUGAUCUUGAGCUGGCUGAUGGCCUUGUAUACAAGCUCGAGUGAAUAUUAUUCCAAUGUGUGCCAUAGGGCAAUUAGUUGAAGUCAUGUGGACCAUAUUCAAGGGGCUUGCCAGAGUUCAAAGAAGCUGCAUCCUGCUCCUUUGGCGAGUGGGAAAAUAAUUGCUUUAGGUUGGUUCUUUGGUCACCAGAUGGUGUCUCUUCUGCUGUGAGACAGUCCUCCUGCGAGCAGAGCCGUAGAAUGAAACACACAGCUUAGCAAAAACACCCUUUCGCUGACUGAGGCCACGUCCACACCGUUGGGACCCAGGCGUUCUGGAGAAGUUGUGCCUGAGGAGGUUGAUUGGCAAGUCUUGUCUGGGAGAAUAUCGGCCUCAAUGUCCCAGUGAGGCUCCUAGUCUGCUUGGAAGAAGUUGUGUCAUCCUCCGCCGGUUCCGGAUGAUAUCUGUGGAAAAGAUGGUAAACCACUUUGUUUGCAAAGUGUGUUGUUGGCACGUGAAACUUGGCACCUACAAACCAAGCUGUUGGGGACCUUGAGAAGGUGAAAAUACAGAAUUCCUAGGAAAACACAGCUCUGUGUAAGACAGCUCACACCUUCUGCAAGCAUACAGGAAGAAUUUCCCCGUAUGCUCUUCAGAGCUCAUACAGGUCUUCUGUCUUCCCCUGAAGCAUGAGAGAUCAGCUGCAGCCCACCGUGGGAAGGCAGAAGAGGCACACACGCUUCAAGAGGCUUUUGAAAUUUCUCAACCUGAAGUGUGACUGUUUGCACAUUGGAUUAAUAGUGCUCAAAUUUGGGUGAGGAUGGGAUUCCCACUCCUCAUAUUGGCAGAGAUACUGUGGAGGGACUAGAGGUUGCCUCCCUGCUUUUCAUCAGGCAAAAUUCUCAUGAUGGAGCUGUCUUGGCAUAUCUCGCCUCUUCAAUUUCUAGACAGUGGGCAUCUCAGCCUUUCCAUUUGUUUGCUUGUAGCCUACUGUUAAACUACCUGAAGACUGAAAUGACUUAGUUUAAUCAAGCUUUGAUGCUAAAGAAUGGAAAAGUAUUUGUGAUAUCCCAUUGAGUAUGAGCUAACAGGAAUCAGACUUGCCAAUCUAAUAGUUCCUUCUGGUCCAAAAUUCCAACAAAAUCUGUAUCACGGGUUUCAGUUCCUUUCCUGUGUGAAGUCACAGUCCCUGUAAAGUAUAGCCCAAGGCAUAUUGCUGUUGUUCGUGUGGAGCAGGCAGUUACGUACGACUGGAUUGCCCCCAUGGACAUGUAUGGAGAAGGGACUCCACAUACAGGUCUGCCUCUGGGCGGAAGAGCACAGCACUAUCUCCUUCGCAGUGCUGAAGCCCACCUUCCUUCACCAGAAGACUGACAAACAGUAAGGAUAGUCCCAGUCUCCUCUGGACUUACCCUUGUUCUAUUCUUAUACUCCUCCAAUGACUUCCACAUGGGAAGUAAAACAGCCUAAAGCAGCUCAGCUCUGCCGUGCUCUCCUGCUGUGGAUUAGCCUCGGGUGGCUUGGCCAGUGGGAGCAGCUGCCACAGGAUACAUGUUGCCUUGGAAAGGGUGUCUGACACCACAAGCAGACCCCGCCUACAGAGAGUAGGGCUUGUUUCCCUACGACGUGCAGAGUCAUGGGGCUGGGAUGCACUGUGUUUCUCAAAUACCAUCACUCAGUAAGUCUUUUUCACCUCUGGGGGACAGGGCUAAGAGAGAGCCUUCGCCCUGGCACCACACCGCACUGUGCACCCUCCCACCCUCUCCAGGACCCACAAACAUUGGCAGAGCCUCUGGCCUAGGAUGAGUUUCCUACUGACUGCUUGCUCUUCCGACCAGACAAUCGUCACAACACCUUUCCACGCACACCCAAAAGGAGGCUCAAAGGCUCCUCCCACCACUUUAUUUCCUAAAGAAGGGGUUGUCUGUAUUUAUAAAUGUUCUGGAACUACCUCUCCUCUCUUGAAGUCAACCUAUUUUGAUGGCUGUAUUUUUCCCUGCUUGAUUUUAAACCUUUUUGAGAGGUGUCCUACCAGAAAAGUUCUGUUUUACUGCAGGAACUGCUCAGAUGGAAGGCAAAGAGUGGAGCAUGUAGUGCUCUUAGAGCUCUUCUCUCACAAAUAUGCAGCACUCAGCAAUUUAUUCAAGCUCAUCGCUAUUACUUCCAUGAAAGUGUCACCAUGGGACAACGAGGAGGGUUAAAUACUGGUUUGAUGCUUGCGUGGGAGUUGAAUUUCGAGCUCAACCCCGGCCACUAGUGAUUAAAAAGAUCUAGUUUUUACUAAAUCUUUUUACAAGGAACAAUGAUAUGUUUUUUAUUGUGACACUGGCAGGCAAUUUGUAAAACAAGGAUAAUGAUAAUUCAACCUUUGUAAUGCACACAGGGAUCUUUGCAUGAAAUGCAAUUUAUAUGUGCAAAGUAUUUUUAUUGCUAAUAGAAGAUGCAGUUCUAUCAGAUAAUGGGGCAGAACAUUCUUGUUUCCUCUGUGCGUUGAUGGUUUAUUGCUGAUCUCCAAUGGCAAUAGGAGGAACAAUUAUUGUUUUAAUGUGUUUGGUGCACAGGUAAAAUCAGAGUUAAUGCAUGACUUGGAAAAAGGAGGGCAGCCAUGUCAUAGGUCUUGAUUUUUGAAAAAUAAAUAUAACACACAGUGUUUGAAAGAUACACUAUGAACAAUUGCAAGUCAGAACAUUAGCUGGCUGUUUUGUUACGGUUUGUCACAAAAUGAACAGAAAGAUAGAAAAAUGGAAAUAGGCAAUGAUACAUACAUCUGUAAUGUGGGAUUCAGGAGUGUUUCUCCUGCUGUGACAAGACAGGUGUGCACCAUUUCCAUGCAGUCCUGGCUGGUUCUAUAGACGAAAUCCAGGCUCGAAGAAGUCAGGAGGGAGCCUUCAAAUGCUCCAGGAGGGUCCCAACAUGACUCUCAAGGGCCCAGGGCUGAGGAGGACACCUGCCAUGCAGGAGAGGUCCUGCCAAUACGACCAAAGAGAAGUUCCUUUUGCAUUGCUUGGAUUUAGUAAAAAUUACAUAUCACUUGACUGAAAAUAUCAUUAUCUCACAUAUAAACAUAUUAGUGUGUGGAAUAUCCCCAAGUGAUCACAUUUAAUGAGAAAAUUUGGCAGUCUCUAGUAGAUACAACAUCUCCACAGUGUCCCUUUGCUGCUAGGAUAGUGUAAUGAAAGAAACAAAAGCUUAUAUAUGAUUUUUUCCCAAAAUCUCAUAAAAGAGUUAACUUUCAGUGAAAAAAAAAGUGUAAAAAGCAGGUAUUUCAGCUAUUCUUUACUUGGGACACAAUUCUUCUCCCACUGGAGUUAAUGGCAAAACCUCAUUGACUCAGAUGGGAGCAGGAUCAGGCACUGAAUCCUCAAGGCAACAGGAAUUCAGUUUUGCCAACAUGAAGGAAAUGGCUAGUUAUCACUGAUACAGACAGCCACAUUCUGCCAAACUAUGGACAAAAGCUAUUUUAAUGUCAAAGCAAAUUAUGGUAAUAAUUAAAAUCUAGUUCCCAUGAGAAGUUACUGUUAGAGAUUCUUGCAAGACUACUACAAAUAGGAAAGAAUUUCACAGCCACUGAAAGAAAUUCUGCUUCCACUUGGGGGAAAAAAUGACAUUCUUAACAGAUAGAGGAAUGAAACACAGGCUUGGCAGUGACUAGCUAAGAGAUAAAGAUAUUAUGAGGUAAUCAGACAAUAAUGCUUCAAAGGAAUAUUUUCAGAAAAUACAUUGUUUCCUUUUUAUCAUGAUUAAAUGCUUGUAAUAACAAGAUUGUUUUAACUUUGCCAAUAUGCUAUCAGUGUCAAUUUUAUUUUAAAGAAGGAAAUAAACAAAAGGCUGUUAUUACAAGGAAUUCAAGCUGAAAUGUUGAAGCUUUAUUGCUUAUAUGAUUGUAUUUAAAAUUGAAGGUUGUAUGUCAAAAUAAAAUC